AUGUUGUCUUGUGCUUGCAUGUGCAACACUCUAAAAGCUCCACCCACCCACCACUGCAGGUAGAGAGGUCAGUACCGAGUGAUUCUCCCAGUACGUCCAGUACGUCCAUUCUUUGGGAUGUGAGCUACCAUCGUGGAACUCGUACCCAUCAGCUGUAAGGUGCCACCACACUCCAGGUCCUUGUUUC